AACCCUUACUCGAUUCUUCUUUUUCUCUCGCCUCUCUCUCUCUCUUUUUAGCAAAAGCAUAGAGGAAGAGGUUCUGGAUUGCUGCAGUACAUAGAGAUAUGUCUCUUUCGACAAUAUGUUGGAUCGGAGAUGUCCGGGAGGAGAAGCAUACACUGGCGACUUCAAUCAUCAUUAUAAACGCCUUGAAGAACGUAAAAUUUCAAGGGCCUAAGUUUAUGAGUCAAGGUUUGAAGACUCAGAAGACGUGGUUCAGAGAACACUGAUGAUGAACCACCGAAAUGUAUGUAUUUCGUUUCUCUCAAUGUUCCCUUUCUCUUUUUAGGAUCUGUAAAAAGUUUAAAGAUGGAAUGAAUGACACAAAUCUCUUUGUAAUUAGACUGUUAAUUGCAUAGUACAGUCUUGGAGCUGUUGAACUUCGACAUUGUUGCUUCUUCUUUGCAAUUAGGAAUAUAAAUUUGGGGUUUUUGAGUUCUGAUUUGUAGGGAUGAGUUUCAGUCUCUGCUGGUAUUCUCCAUGUUUUUCCAAGUCUUUUUGAUUGUCUAUGGAGAAUGGCAAGAUGCUCUCAUGGAGGUUCGGUACAUUGAUGUUGAUUACAUUGUUUUUUUUUAAUGCUGCUUUGUUGAUGGCAUCUGGUGAAUCUCCUUACAAGAGAGCCACAUACCGAUAUUCGCCUUUGCUAAACAAUGUCUAACUCCUAAUUCUUUCUUUCAUUGGUCACUUGGAAAGUUUCUCUUCUCAGCUUCUGAUUUGUUUGAUGAUUUGUUCUUUGGUCAUUCUGAAUUUUAUUUUCAUGUUUCAUAUUUGUGGGUAGGAUAUCCUUACUAUUUUGAAAGAACGUAAGGUGCCUGAGAAGAUAUGUACAUACAUUAUUCUGUAAUGGUUUGGCUUUUCAAUCCGUUUACAUUCACUAUUAGAACCAGUAGGGAACUGUUAACCCAUGGUUUGUGCCAUAGUAUUAUGGAUCAUCAUCUCUCUUAUGCAAGGUUGCUCCGUACCAAAAAAAAAGAUGAGUCGCUUUCUAAAGAUCCUGCUUGCAAGAUUCUGCGUCGGGAGCUUACUAAAAUUGUUGUGGAUGGUGUUGUGUCUAAGCUUUGACAUAACCAGUCCUUUUUUUUCUUUCCCUGUGUUUGGUCUGAUCAGCUUCUUCCUCAUAUGUCUUUUCAGAUGAGUUUCUUUUGCUUAAGCAUUUUUCUCCAGGUUCUGGCCUCUUCUUCAGCACCAGCAAUGUGUUUCCGAAGGUCAAUAACAUAUGACACAGAGAAAGAUGAGAAAGAAGUGUUCUUCACUAUUACCUCAUGUACUCGGUCUGCUUUUGUUGCUUUGCGUCUUCCCGGCUCCAUUUUCAGUCACAGUUCCGAGGAGCUUUCCAAUCUGUUUGAAGAGAAAGAGCCAAGCUUGGAGUUGGAGGAAGUGAAGCAAGCUUUUGAUGUCAUUGAUGAAAACAGAGAUUGGUUUAUCGAUCCAAUAGAUUUUCAAAGAGUUUUGACUGCUGUUAUUCAAUUAUGUAUUUGAUUAAUACAAUCCUCUCUUAUUUUGUUGGAAUGGAUUUUAAGAUAUUUUUUCCGUCUAAA